GCCCCCUUAGCUCAGUGGAUAGAGCAUCGGCCUCCGGAGCCGAGAGCAGGCGUUCAAGUCGCCUAGGGGGUA
rnacentral:tRNA from 1 species